UACGUAGGGGGCAAGCGCUAUCCGGAUUUACUGGGUGUAAAGGGAGCGUAGACGGCUUUGCAAGCCAGAUGUGAAAGCCCGGGGCUCAACCCCGGGACUGCAUUUGGAACUGUAUGGCUGGAGUGUCGGAGAGGCAGGCGGAAUUCCUAGUGUAGCGGUGAAAUGCGUAGAUAUUAGGAGGAACACCAGUGGCGAAGGCGGCCUGCUGGACGAUGACUGACGUUGAGGCUCGAAAGCGUGGGGAGCAAACAGG
rnacentral:rRNA from 1 species